UUUUUUUUCUGAAAGCUUCAUCAAAAUGGCUGCGAGCAUAGAAAGUGAAUAAAAUUCAGCUAAGACAAAACAGAAAUUACAAUCUUUUUAGACCAGCUCUAGCACCUCAGCAGAAGAUGAUGGAGACUUGAAAACUGGCAGGCACUCAGGACCCAGUUCAGUAAAACACUUAAAGAAGUACUUAACUUUAAGAUUGCGAACAAUCCCACUGACCUCCAUGGGAAGGAGAACAGAGACCCGGAGGCCUAGUGACUCACCGAAGCUCACACAACAGCAUGGAUGAGCCUGCCCUCGUUAAAGGAGAUAAUGGAGACAUUUUGGAGGAUGCUUCAAGGAGCUGACCAACAUCAUUCUAGGACAACUGAUUUCCAUUCAGUACAUGACCAAUACAGCAAAACAUCAGCAAGGAGAUAGUUCUCGGACAGUUAGCAGUUACUAGAAAAUAUGAUUCCUACUAAACUCAUCAAAGAAAGGUUGUUUAAGAGGUAGGUUGCCUUUUAUACUCAUUUCUUGAUUACAAGAAAAAUUACAAGAUCUU